rnacentral:lncRNA from 1 species
UGCGUUUCCAACACGAGAUGCUGUUAGCUGAAGGGAGGACUGGGAUGGGCCCGUCCCGCCCCCCACCAACAGGGCGUCCAGGUGAAGGACCAGGAGAAGAGGCGGCGUGUGGAGGAAGAAGGCGCAGGAAUGGGGAGGGGGUGUGGAGGAAGAAGGCGCAGGAAUGGGGAGGGCGUGUGGAGGAAGAAGGCGCAGGAAUGGGGGGAGGGCGUGGAGGAAGAAGGCGCAGGAAUGGGGGAGGGCGUGUGGAGGAAGAAGGCGCAGGAAUGGGGAGAGGGCGUGUGGAGGAAGAAGACGCAGGAAUGGGGAGAGGGCGUGUGGAGGAAGAAGGCGCAGGAA